AGGUUGCAUUUAAGUAAUCAAGCAAUUAUGAAAGCUGUUUAGAAUAUGUAUUUCUUCCAUAGAGCCUCACGGAAGGUUAUUUAAAGUGAAUAGAUUGCACCGAAGGCCACAAUUAGCAGCCUCCCUGUAUCCAUGACCAAUGCAGCGUGACCUUACAGAUUCUUCCAGCAAGAGGUGUAAGCUCAGUGUAAGAGGAUGGAAAAAACCUUUCCUCCUAAGGAAUUCUCAGCAUGGUGAUGGAUACUCAGUGGAUGCUCCAGGAAUACACAUGGGUGAGGC